rnacentral:rRNA from 1 species
GACGGGGCCCGCACAAGCGGAGGAGCAUGUGGUUUAAUUCGAUGAUACGCGAGGAACCUUACCUGGGCUCGAACGUAAGAUGACUGUAGGUGAAAGCUUACAUCUCUUCGGAGCAUUUUACGAGGUGCUGCAUGGUUGUCGUCAGCUCGUGCCGUGAGGUGUCGGGUUAAGUCCCAUAACGAGCGCAACCCCUACCUUUAGUUGCCAUCAGGUAAUGCUGGGGACUCUAAAGGAACUGCCUACGCAAGUAGUGAGGAAGGCGGGGAUGACGUCAAAUCAGCACGGCCCUUACGUCCAGGGCUACACACGUGCUACAAUGGCCGAUACAGAGGGCAGCUACCUGGUGACAGGAUGCAAAUCUCCAAAGUCGGUCUCAGUUCGGAUCGGAGUCUGCAACCCGACUCCGUGAAGUUGGAUUCGCUAGUAAUCGCGCAUCAGCCAUGGCGCGGUGAAUACGUUCCCGGGCCUU